CACGUAGGGCGCAAGCGUUGUCCGGAAUUAUUGGGCGUAAAGAGCUCGUAGGCGGUCUGUUGCGUCCGCUGUGAAACUCGGGGCUUAACCCCGAGCCUGCAGUGGAUACGGGGCAGACUAGAGGUAGGUAGGGGAGAAUGGAAUUCCCGGUGUAGCGGCGAAAAUGCGCGAUAUCGGGAGGAACACCGGUGGCGAAGGCGGUUCUCUGGGC
rnacentral:rRNA from 1 species